rnacentral:rRNA from 1 species
AUUGAACGCUGGCGGCAGGCUUAACACAUGCAAGUCGAGCGGAGUGAUGGUGCUUGCACUAUCACUUAGCGGCGGACGGGUGAGUAAUGCUUAGGAAUCUGCCAUUUAGUGGGGGACAACAUUCCGAAAGGAAUGCUAAUACCGCAUACGUCCUACGGGAGAAAGCAGGGGAUCUUCGGACCUUGCGCUAAAUGAUGAGCCUAAGUCGGAUUAGCUAGUUGGUGGGGUAAAGGCCUACCAAGGCGACGAUCUGUAGCGGGUCUGAGAGGAUGAGCAGCCACACUGGGACUGAGACACGGCCCAGACUCCUACGGGAGGCAGCAGUGGGGAAUAUUGGGCAAUGGGCGGAAGCGUGAUCCAUCCAUGCCGCGUGUGUGAAGAAGGCCUUUUGGUUGUAAAGCACUUUAAGCGAGGAGGAGGCUACUAGUACUAAUACUACUGGAUAGUGGACGUUACUCGCAGAAUAAGCACCGGCUAACUCUGUGCCAGCCGCCGCGGUAAGAC